rnacentral:lncRNA from 1 species
UACAAGUACAAGGUAUGUGAUUGCUCAUUUUUUUCAAAAUAACAUUAACCAGAGUAUUAGAAUGUAAGUGUUGCAGCAUACGACCUGAGGUAAUAGCCAUAGUGUAAAAGAGUCAAACACCAGGGAUGGAGAAGGGAGAUGAAACGAAGAAUGAUGCUUCAGUUCAGAAGUUCCUUCCAGUCCCAGUACGCUAAUUUUUAGUGGUAGAGAUGCCUCAGAGAAUGGAAGAAAAGUUUGAAAGAAGUAACUUAGUUCAGCCUGCCACACUUACGAAGCUUGCUCAGCCAUAGAGAACACAUGAUUUCAACAAGCUGGUGAACUAAGACUCAGAGGUAAACUCAAUUUACUGAAAUGUUAGGCCUUAAUAGGUAAGGCUUUUAAAAUUUUAGAGAAAAACAGUCUGCCUAUGAGAAGCUUAUAAAGAGCAAUAAAAAGAAAAUUGGGUUUUGCUGUUGCUGCUCUUUCAGUUAAUGUGGUAAAGUAGGACUGCUGAGCGAUAAGAGACAGUGAAACUAUUUCAGAUUUCAACAAGCUGACUUUGAAGCUAGGAUUCUGUACUUGAUCAAAUAUUACUCCCAAAUUUGAAAACAAAAUAAUUCUAUUGUAGUAAGUCACAGUUUAUUCAAAUCCUUUCAAAUCCUCUUCUAAAGAAAUUAUUUCUAAAAUAUAUCCCAGCAAGAAAAAUGAAGACUCAGGAAAGAAGAAAAUAUACCAAACAAUAGUAGUAACCUUGGAGAACAAUAGGGACCAAAAAUUGUCCUGUGGCUGGAGUCAGUGUCAUUGCAGAGGAGUUCACAGUGCUUCACACACAACGGUCUCACAGUCAAGUGUUGGUUGUUACAUUCACCUCACCCUCACUCAGAAGGCUUGCGGGAGAGGCUAAGCGGAGGCAUUUUUACUUAGUAUACAUAAGACCUGGCUGUGACCCCUGAUGAUACAAAAGGAAGAGGAAAGAAACGGACGGCAUCGAUUUCAUAAAGGAUGUAUAAAAACUCAACUACAUAUGUACAUGAUAAGCUAUCUGGUCUUAAAUAUCUACAGCAAUAUGGUACAGAACUGAGAUACACUAAAGUUUAAAUGAUUUCUUAUUAAAUUAUUUAUCUGUAAAAUAAGAGAAUCUGCUUGUAGUGGAGAGAUACAUUAAUAUCUAACAGAAGCGUAGUAGAUGAGCUGUAACAUGAUGAACUGUAAGGCGCUUGGUUGGAGCGUUCUGCAUGGUAAACCUUUGUAGGUGACCUCUAGACCAAGGAGCACCAUGGUUCCAGAGCUGUUUUCUGUCCCCGUCUACUCAAAGCCACACAUGAAUGUGGGAAAUGACAGAGAAAGACUGAUUAAAUAAGAGAAUAAUUGUCACUAACUUGAGAUAAAACAGGUGAAGAAAAUGAUAAAAUUCACAAGGUGGCAGGUGUGUAGAUGCUUGCCAAGCAAGCCUGGAAACCUGAGUUGACCCACUUUCAGUCCACGGAAACCAUUAGGUAUCCAUACACACAAUAAUGCCAAUAAAGUAUUUCUUUAUUGGAAAGACUGAUAAAACUGAUAACCCCUCAAGCAAGAAAAGUGAAACAAGAAAGAACACAAAAUAGUGGUAUCCGUUUUCAUCAGAGCAGUAGAGACCACAAGCAGAUCAGAAAUAAGUGUGAGUAACUUUUUGCAGCAGAGAUGAAAUGUAUGCAUGAAAAGAAAGAAAAGGGCUGGUGAGGUUGCUCAAUUCUAUUAAUCUUUUAAAAAUAUUUUAUUGAAUUAUUAAGUUGGUGCAUAUAUAUUCCAUUUUAAGUAAAUUUAUCUCAGUUAAAUUACAAAUUACUUUUGUCUAAGUUAGGUUAAGUGAGAAUUAAGAGUAGUUUUGUUUGUAUUAUAAGUUAAAUUAAUAUAUACAUGUAUAUAUAUUUUGAUUUAAAAUUUAAGUAUAUAAAAAAUAAAAGUUUUGAAUACCAAUUAGAACAAGUUUUAAAAUAAGAUCUAAAAUACAUUGUUUUGUCUUAGUUUCUUUAAAGUAAAAUUUGAAUAAAAACUGUUAGAUAAUAUAUGUAUAUAUGUGCAUAUAUAUGUAUAUAAAUAUUCAUCUUAAACAUUUUAUUUAACCUCCAAAGUAAGUCCCAUGUUCAUGAUUCUAGAUUUAUGAAAGUAGGAUUGUAGCUUCUCAAGAGGAAACAGAAGUUCUGAGUGUUUAAUUCUUUCUCUCCCAUUAUUAUGAAAACGUUAAUCCAGAGUUCCAUGUGAGAGUUUUUAACCGUUUUAAUUUCUUGAAUAUCAUUUUAUUGCAGCCAUUAAUCAAUAAUUUGAUAAGUCUCAAGAGUACUUUGAUUACCUGGUCUUAGGAUUGUUUUCUCUUCUUCCUUAUGUUGAAUCUCUCAGCUACUGUGGUGACCGCUGCUGUGGUGGAGGUGCACCCACAGGCUUCUCAAGCGCACACGAUGCUGAACGUGAGCUUCCAGACCGAUUACCUCACCAUGGCACUCUACAGUCCGGGGCCGGAUGAGGUAAGUGAAGAAUAGAAACUAUGUUUAUAUUUGUAAAGAAAUUAUCUAAAACUAUCUAAAACUAAUUACUAAUAGCUAUUAAUUAAUUGUUGUUACUGUUUUGUGUGUAUUUUGUAGUAUAUAUUCUUCUGGAAGAAAGAUUGAUAUUUUCAAUAAUUAUCUCAUACAUUUUUAUUGAGUUAUCUUUAUUAUGAUGAAAAUAUGAAAAAAUGAAAGUAGUACACAUACAUUUGUAACCUUUUCUUUAGAAAGCCCUUUGAAAAUAGAGGAUUCGAGGCUUAUAGUGCUGAGCGCUAGAGUCUGUUUAACAUGAACAAAGUCCUGGGUUCAGUCUAGUGUCUAGAAAAGAAUAAAAAGAGAAGGACCAGGUAUGGUGGCGCACACCUUUAAUCUCAGCACUUGGGAUGCAGAAGCAGGAAGGUUUGUGGGAGUUCAAGGGUAGCAUGGACUACAAAGGACAACCAGGGCCAUAUAGGAGACCCUCUCUCAGCAACAGCAGCAACAACAACCACUACCACCAGCACCACCUCACCAUCAUCAUCUUCAUUAUCACC